UACGGAGGGUGCAAGCGUUAUCCGGAUUCACUGGGUUUAAAGGGUGCGUAGGUGGGCUGGUAAGUCAGUGGUGAAAUCUCCAGGCUUAACUUGGAGACGCCACUCGAGACUGCUAUGGCUAGAGUCCGGUAGGGGACCACGGAAUUCCUGGUGUAGCGGUGAAAUGCGCAGAUAUCAGGAGGAACACCGGUGGCGAAGGCGGUGGUCUGGGCCGGCACUGACGCUGAGGAGCGAAAGCGUGGGUAGCAAACAGG
rnacentral:rRNA from 1 species